rnacentral:rRNA from 1 species
ACAUGCAGAGAACUUUACCAGAGAUGGAUUGGUGGCCUUCGGGAACUCUGACACAGGUGCUGCAUGGCUGUCGUCAGCUCGUGUCGUGAGAUAUUGGGUUAAGUCCCGUAACGAGCGCAACCCUUGUCCUUAGUUACCAGCACGUUAUGGUGGGCACUCUAAGGAGACUGCCGGUGACAAACCGGAGGAAGGUGGGGAUGACGUCAAGUCAUCAUGGCCCUUACGGCCUGGGCUACACACGUGCUACAAUGGUCGGUACAAAGGGUUGCCAAGCCGCGAGGUGGAGCUAAUCCCAUAAAACCGAUCGUAGUCCGGAUCGCAGUCUGCAACUCGACUGCGUGAAGUCGGAAUCGCUAGUAAUCGUGAAUCAGAAUGUCACGGUGAAUACGUUCCCGGGCCUU